rnacentral:misc_RNA from 1 species
GAUCCAUCAGCUUCUUCAGCUGAGAGCCCCUGGUCGACAUACCAGAAUUCUGUUUUUCUAAAACUGUCCAAAAUCUCAAGAAGCAUAUUAUCUAGUUUUCGGAGUGCUGGAAGGUUGGCAUAAAGAUCCAACCGCGGCCUAGAAGUCAUCACCUCAAGCUUAGUGCCAUCAGGAAAUGUCUGCCAAGAGGGUGUCAAUUCUACAAUGUAAUCACUAACACAAAGAAGCCAUUCCAUUUCUCUCCUCCACAUUAACCUCUUCUCUGAAGGUAAAGGUUCCAAUCUCCAAAUUUGU